ensembl:snoRNA SNORD16 Small nucleolar RNA SNORD16
UGCUAUGAUGUCGUAAUUUGCGUCUUACUUAAGCAUUCAGUGACAGUUGCCUGCUGUCAGUAAGCUGACGCUUUCUGGGUGAUGAGUACUUGUAACUGAGCA